UACAGAGGGUGCAAGCGUUGUUCGGAUUUACUGGGCGUAAAGCGUGCGUAGGCGGUUCUCCAAGUCCGUUGUGAAAGCCCCGGGCUCAACCUGGGAAUGGCAGUGGAAACUAGGGGACUGGAAUCUGGCAGAGGGGGUGGAAUGCCGCGUGUAGCAGUGAAAUGCGUAGAGAUGCGGCGGAACACCGAUGGCGAAGGCAGCCCCUGGGCUGAGAUUGACGCUCAGGCACGAAAGCGUGGGGAGCAAACAGG
rnacentral:rRNA from 1 species